rnacentral:lncRNA from 1 species
CGCGCCUGCUCUGUAGAGGUCCAGGUCUGUGUACACAGGAUGUCUGCAGCCUGGUCCAACAGCUAUCUAUAUCUCUGACCCAGUUGUGCCUUCUGCUCCUCGUUUUGCCUUCUCUUUGCUUGUAAUGGCGAGCUCCCACACACACUGUGAAGGACUCUUUAGACCAGAUUGUCUGUCUUUCUGCUCAGCAGCUCCAGCUGCCCGAAGUACCCAGAAGAGGUCCUGAGACGCCAUUGAAGUCACUGUUCCUAACACAGCAGCAAAGGAGAACAAACUUUACCCGACACCUCUCUCUGCUGGCGUGUAGGACCCAGAUAUCAGAAGCACAGAGUCUAACUAAAGCAGGUGAGGAACCAUGA